GGUUUGCCAAAGUUUUACAUUAACCCAAGGUUAUGGCGGUUUGCCCAAGUAUUGGUUAAUAUCAAAGAGUGUUCCUAUAAGGUUGUUUAAGGCACUCUGAUUUUAUAAUCAGAUAUAGGACCUAAAUGAAUUUUCACUUCAUGACAAAAUACCGAUGGC